rnacentral:rRNA from 1 species
AGAGUUUGAUCCUGGCUCAGGACGAACGCUGGCGGCGUGCCUAAUACAUGCAAGUCGAGCGCGGGAAGCGAGCUGAAGCCCUUCGGGGUGGACGCUCGUGGAACGAGCGGCGGACGGGUGAGUAACACGUGGGCAACCUACCUGUGAGACGGGGAUAACUCCGGGAAACCGGGGCUAAUACCGGAUAACGCAUCGAACCGCAUGGUUCGAUGAUCAAAGAUGGCUUCUAGCUAUCACUCACAGAUGGGCCCGCGGCGCAUUAGUUAGUUGGUGAGGUAACGGCUCACCAAGGCGACGAUGCGUAGCCGACCUGAGAGGGUGAUCGGCCACACUGGGACUGAGACACGGCCCAGACUCCUACGGGAGGCAGCAGUAGGGAAUCAUCCGCAAUGGACGCAAGUCUGACGGUGCAACGCCGCGUGAGCGAUGAAGGUCUUCGGAUCGUAAAGCUCUGUUGUGAGGGAAGAACAAGUGCCGUUCGAAUAGGGCGGCACCUUGACGGUACCUCACCAGAAAGCCCCGGCUAACUACGUGCCAGCAGCCGCGGUAAUACGUAGGGGGCAAGCGUUGUCCGGAAUUAUUGGGCGUAAAGCGCGCGCAGGCGGUUCCUUAAGUCUGAUGUGAAAGGCCACAGCUCAC